rnacentral:rRNA from 1 species
UGGGGAAUUUUGGACAAUGGGCGAAAGCCUGAUCCAGCAAUGCCGCGUGUGUGAAGAAGGCCUUCGGGUUGUAAAGCACUUUUGUCCGGAAAGAAAUCCUUGGCUCUAAUACAGUCGGGGGAUGACGGUACCGGAAGAAUAAGCACCGGCUAACUACGUGCCAGCAGCCGCGGUAAUACGUAGGGUGCAAGCGUUAAUCGGAAUUACUGGGCGUAAGCGUGCGCAGGCGGUUUGCUAAGACCGAUGUGAAAUCCCGGGCUCAACCUGGGAACUGCAUUGGUGACUGGCAGGCUAGAGUAUGGCAGAGGGGGGUAGAAUUCCACGUGUAGCAGUGAAAUGCGUAGAGAUGUGGAGGAAUACCGAUGGCGAAGGCAGCCCCCUGGGCCAAUACUGACGCUCAUGCACGAAAGCGUGGGGAGCAAACAGGAUUAGAUACCCUGGUAGUCCACGCCCUAAACGAUGUCAACUAGUUGUUGGGGAUUCAUUUCCUUAGUAACGUAGCUAACGCGUGAAGUUGACCGCCUGGGGAGUACGGUCGCAAGAUUAAAACUCAAAGGAAUUGACGGGGUCAUAGCUGUUUCCU